rnacentral:rRNA from 1 species
CGUACACUCCUGCGGGAGGCAGCAGUGGGGAAUAUUGGACAAUGGGCGCAAGCCUGAUCCAGCCAUGCCGCGUGAGUGAUGAAGGCCCUAGGGUUGUAAAGCUCUUUCACCGGUGAAGAUAAUGACGGUAACCGGAGAAGAAGCCCCGGCUAACUUCGUGCCAGCAGCCGCGGUAAUACGAAGGGGGCUAGCGUUGUUCGGAUUUACUGGGCGUAAAGCGCACGUAGGCGGACUAUUAAGUCAGGGGUGAAAUCCCGGGGCUCAACCCCGGAACUGCCUUUGAUACUGGUAGUCUUGAGUUCGAGAGAGGUGAGUGGAAUUCCGAGUGUAGAGGUGAAAUUCGUAGAUAUUCGGAGGAACACCAGUGGCGAAGGCGGCUCACUGGCUCGAUACUGACGCUGAGGUGCGAAAGCGUGGGGAGCAAACAGGAUUAGAUACCCUAGUAGUCC